AUAAUAAAAUAUCGAUACUUGACAUCCGUGUAUCGAUACAAUAUCGCCACGCAAAGUAUCGCGAUACUAUGCUGUAUCGAUUAUUUCCCCCACCCCUAAUAUAAAUGUUUUUUAUAUAUCUGAAA